AACUCAGUCGCUAGAAAACUAGCAAGUUUUUCAGUGACCGCCGAAUUUUGCAGGCCUCAGUGACCGCCGAGUUUUGCAGGCCCCACGCGAAACGACAGCCACACCUUGCUCAGCCUUCAGCCCACGACUCCGAUCAGAAUACCUGCAAACAGAUAAAAGAACGAAAAUACGAGAGAGAGAGAGAGAGAGAUUUCGGAUAACGUCAGCGAGCCCUAAAUCACCCUAAAAUCGACAUCAAAUGCUCAGUUACCACCACGAGAAGGAUUCCUAACAAAAGCACAAUAACUCAGGGCCACUAAACUUCGACGAAGGAAAGAAGGAUGACAAAUAGAGAGGAAAAAGAAGAAAGAGGACCGAAAUCGGCAACGAAAACGCCGCGGGAAGGAGAGAGAAAAUACACCGAAAAAUCGGCCGGUCGGGUAAGGAAGACGAGAUCCACGGAUCCGGGUCAACUCGAACCAAAAACCUGAUAGAGCAGCCCGACUUCUUUCCCCUCGGCCUCUGCCUUCGGCCCAGCCCAACUACAGCGGCCCAAAACUCAAUCCAGUCGAGAAGCCGAGGUUCACCUGAACCGACCCGAGACCAGACCCAUGAUCCAAUCGAACCGGCUUGCGACCCGAUCCAAUAAACUGAGGCCCAACAACCAGCCCGACCCAGUAGCCUUCUGUAGCAGUUGACCCGAACCGGAGUGCGACCUGCGCCUCGACCCGACGUACACCGCGCGACGUGGCAUGUUCUGAUUCUGCCACGUGGAACACAGCGGCGCAGGCGGUCCCUCGGCUCGGCGGCUCUCAGCGGCUGUUCGGCUCGGCUCCCCUAUUUUCGGCCUGGUUUCCACUGUUUCGACCCUUUGGGACCUGUUUUCGGCCCUAAUUAAGGAAACAACCCCGGCAAUGUAGGAAGCAGCUCUCACGGAACGGGAGCUUACGUUUAGCUAAUUAAGGAAUACUUCGGCCAAGGCCAACCAAGUAAGUGACCUUAUUAUAGGAUAAGCUAAAUAUUGUUUGAUUUAUGAUAAUGUAUGAGUAUGACGAUGUGUUGUGUUGUAUGUUAAUUGUACGUUAUUUAUAUUUCGAUGCAUGACGUACAUGUUUUAUUUGAUGCACUUAACGACUUCUAUGAUGAGUAUGAUAUAUGCAUGAUGAUGUUAUUAACAUGAUGAUGUUUUCCAUGUUGAACAUGCCUUACGAUGUUGUUUGCCAUAUUGCAUCAUGUCGUUAGAUCGACAUAGGACACAACCCUAAGAGUAUGAAAAUGAUAUUAAUGUAAAUAUCCACGAGCACGUGUUACAUAGUGUAACCAAGAGAUGAGGCUAGAGGGUUGUGUCAGAAGAGAUGUAUAAUUGAACUUAGAGAGACCUCAUGCAUAUUGUAUGUUCAUAAGCAUAGGGCUACUUCCCCUAGAGAUGAUGAGUGCGGAUGCGUACCGUAUGAUGAGCGUGAAUGCGCACAAGUGCGAAUGCACACAGAUGAGGGUGUUCAUGAGGUGCAUGACACUAUGGGGUUCUGCUGACCUUUGGACGUCGUUACAGAUUAGCUUAACCAGAGGGUCCUAGGGGUGUGCGAGCGCCCUGAGGAUUCACACUCGCACAUGUAAGUCGUGUGUAGGGAAGUACUACACAUCCAAUUUGUCCGAGACUGGAGGUCACCCUUAAGAUGAUUAGAGAUAGGUCCCUAAUUCAUGAUUGCAUGUGUUUGCAUUAGCAUGACCCCUAUAGUGGGGUCACUUUCAGAGUAUUUCUCAGACCGUGUGUCAUAUUGUUUUUCAGGUAAAGGCAAGGCACCCAUGUACGAUUGACGACUGCAUCAUGAUCAGAGACUGUGCGCGUGCAUAGGAUAGUUGCAUAUUUAAACUUCCUAGUCUUGAUGAGCAUUCUUAGAGUUAUAUUCUGCAUUAGAGAUGAGCAUGAGGCUUAAGAACAACACCACACAAGCUUAACACCUACCCAAUUAAGAAGAAUGCUAGGUACCACUCAAGGACGAGAGACCAAGGUCCCCAAACUCAGAAACUCAAGAAUGUUAGGUUA